rnacentral:sRNA from 1 species
UCCACUAACCAAAUAAGAAUGUGUGCGU